rnacentral:lncRNA from 1 species
AAUCAAGCUCUUGAAUCCAGAAAAGGUAGAAAGGAAAAGCAGCGAGGCAAGAGAGGGUCUGACACAUCUGCACUUUCUAGUGGAUCUGAUGGAGGGCCACCUGAUAUGGGGGCUCUUUGUAUCUGAUCUUUUGUUAAAGUAUGUGCACCAUCAUCUAUUGAAUUUCAGAUAUCAGUACGCUGUCUUUCAAAUAUUUGAUUAGACAUAAAAAAUUUUCUACUUCCAUUAGCAUGAAUUUGAUGCAUGCAUCUCUUUUUUGAUCUUUGGGAUAAGUGCACUUUCUAGUUUUCCACCUGUUGCCAACUUUAGAAAAAUCUAUAGGUACAGAAUUUUCAAUGGUGUUAUUUUCUUGGAUAGUCUGCCCGUUUGAUGCAUUUUAUAUUGGCAAUUCUAAUUUGGAGAUUCUUUGUACAUAACUGUUGUGCAUGCAUAUAACACCUACCCUGGUAGAUUUUUUGGCAUUGGCAUGAGUGAGUUUGGUGAGAAGUCAAAGGGGGAAGGAGAUAAGGAAAUUCAGUUAUUGCUGUCCCUGGGCUAAACCUUUUCAUGAAUAUAUAAGAGACAUCACAUGAAUUUGACAAGUGAUGGUUUAAUUUCUAAAUUCCCUUCCAAAGUGAUGGUUUUGUUGUAACCGUAGUUUGGGGUUCCCAUGAAGAUGUCAUUCCUUUUCCUUUCAUUUCUAAGAGACGGGUAAGAUCCAAAAUGCACUUAAGCUCCAUCUAUAAGGACCCAAAUGCAAUCCAUCUGCAGUUGGAGAUGACACAGAUAGUACAUAUGCUAGUUCUUCCAUUCAAAUUGGUGCAGAUUUCUAAAAUUAAACAACUUUGACUGACAAUUAUCUUUGGUUAUUUUGGCAAAAAAGUAGUAUAGAUCUUUUGUUGGUUUUCAUUGGUUGAUAUAUCAUCAUAACAUCAUUUAGACGAAUUAAGUCUCCAAAGCUCCUAAGUGAUGGAUAGAGUGUAAAGACCAUGAGCACCUGCGAAGUUUUAGUAGUAGAUUUUCCAAUAAUCCCACAAUAAUCCUGAAUUUUUUCUUAUUGUUUUUGUGGAAUUGCAUUGUGUCAGAUGGGGCUUGUCCAGUUCUCAAGAAUUACAAGUCUUGCAGCUUCGUCAUUGCAUCCAUGAGGGAGUGGGGAGAGAGUUGAAUUGUGAGCAGGAAACUGAUGCUGAAAGAAGUCUAUAACUUGAGCUUCUUCCCGGAGCAACUUAUGAGGUUCUUAUUUUUUCUUGGCUUGCCUCAACUAUAAAUCUUUUCAUUCUCUAUUAGCUGCAACAUAGAGCGCAUGUUAGUCUGAGGUUAUCUUCUGUCUUCAAAGGCUGCUACCUUAUUAGUCUUGUUUACUACCUUAUCCCAAAAUGGGGAAAUAAAAGAUCCUUACUUCAUCUAACAGCUUAAUUGAACCUUGCAUGGUGAUGCUGCUCUAAUAACACAGGGAGUUAAGCGAUUUUUUAAGCUAAUAAAACUCUCUGUAGAUUCAUUAAUUCCAUGUAAGAAGUCAAAAACACAUGAUACUUUGCAAGAUUGAAAGGUGUGCCUUGUGAGGCCCAUUUUCAUUCAAAUGGUGAUCUAACAUAUGGGAGGGCAUAAUUGCCCACUGAUAUGGGAAAAUGUAGACGUCUCGAGAACUUUAAUGCGAUAAAAGCGUCUUCGGCUUGGCCUAUGCCGUGAUGUUCCGUGGAUGUCUAGGCCGGUAAGUGGACUUUUCCCAUCGUGCGCCACUGUACUCGAAAAGGUGGUCUGUAAAAGCCAGGAGACCACACCUAGGUCCCUUCCAUAAGAUAAGUGUACCUAGCUAUUAAUUGUCUAGUAUAAUAGACUUUCUUAUUAAAUACUUAGAUAAGGUUCUGAUUUAAAAUAAUCGAUAUAGUUGUUAGCCAUGUGUUUAAGGUCUAUCUUAUGGUUAUGUUCAACCAUUUUGUAUUAUGAAUUGAGAAUUUUAAUAGGAAAUACAUGAUGCGUUGUUUUCAAAUCUUUGGUCCAUUGAUUUUGUAGAAUGGCUCCGCUGGGGUAAUUCUAAUCAGAGUAUAGAAGGGCUAGUACUAGAUUAAGGAUAGUUUACUUGGAAAACAUAUACAUACAUACAUACAUACACACAUAUAUAUUGAAGAGUGCUAAUCAAGUUUAGAAUCGCCACAAAAAAGAGGUGUGUUAGUACAAGGGACAAGGUCAUGAUGUUAUACGACGCGGUAGCGACGUGUGGUGUGGCAAGCAAAUCAUUUCAAAAUUUAAGUGUCAAGUAAGAGGACCGGCAUUUUAUACGAUCGAUUUAAUUGGCUGGUCACAUCACGUUAACCGUUAGCGAUUUGACUGUUGAAUAAAAUAAUUUUCUCAAACAAGGAGGUGGCCCCUCGAAAUUUUUUCAAAUGCUAGAAUUCCCAAGCUUGCGAGAACUUUAGGAAACCUACUCCCUUUGAAGAAAUGCUAUUUAUCAUCACCUAAAGUUGCAAGGACUCCCUAGCAAGUACCGCUGUUGAUAUGUACUUUGUAGUUACUAAAAAUCCAUAUCGUCACUUAUGGGUUUGAUGAAGGAAUUUACCAUGCUAUUGGAUAGUUCCUAAGUGAUAGGAUCAUCAAGAGAUAAGCUCUACAAUCAAAUUGCUAACCUCAAAAGAAAGAUGCUAACUAGAGAUGUAGUGAUGAUAAUGAGGACUUCAUGGGACUAAUGACUAUCGGAAAAAUACUUAUGAUGUACAAAUAUUAUCAUUUACAAAUAAAGAGGAGAAAGACUGUAUCAAUAAUGGAGAAUUGAAUAAUGAUGACGCUCACAAAUUAGCAAUAACGAAAGGGAUAUUCGUGAUGCAAAGUUAGAUUGCAAAGUUAAUAAUCAUAUUUUGAGGAUUUUGGGUGAUUUACACUUGUUCUAGAAUAUUUACCGAGAAAUUUCGUUAUUUAUUACAACCAUUUGAUGAAAUUUACUUUAUUAAUUUAAGUUUACUAACGACUAACAUUAAGAUAAGGGCAUAACAAAGAUUAUUUUUUGGCAAUGAGCAAAAUUUAACAUACUGCUAUAACAGGGAUAUGUAUAGAAACACAUUAGUUCCGCAAACCUUUUUGCUUCAUCUAUAAACUGCAUAAAAAAAAAAAAUUUGAAAUUACCCAAGUAAUGGGAAACAAUGCUUGGGGAGAUGAAAUAUGAAAACAAUUUGUUUAUAAAUAAGUGCUCCAGAAGUCGUAAAAUUUAUUGCGAAAGUAUAAUCAAGUUCCAAGACUUUCAAAAAAUGAAAUGAAUUCUUAAAAUCUAUCCAAUUGGUACAAUUAAGUAUUUUUGUUAGCUCCACCAAUUCUUAGUAACGAAAAAUAUUGACAUGUCAUUUAUUGAUAUGAUUUGACUACACGUGCUGAAGAUAUUUGAGCCAAACAUGAGGCCACGUUCUACUGAAUUGAAGUAUCUUGUGUGCCAAGUCACCCUCUCUCCAUUUUCCAAAUCUGACAUUAGAGAUUGAAGCGAAUGCGAUCUUUUACUUCAACAACAAACAUAAAUGUCCCGAGGUAUCAGGAAACAUAUGCCAACCCCUAGUUUGUUGCGCUGGCUUAAUGAUUGCUUCUUUCAGAGCUACAUGCCAGCACUAUUACACUCCCCUCUUCCCAUUUAAUCUGUUUCGCUGUCACUGCUGUACCUGUACCAAGAUCUCCUUCUCUUCAUUUCUCUUCGCUCCAUUUCCAUUGGCUCCAUUUGGCGUGGGAGAAAUUUGUCGUAGAAUUCUUUGAGCUUCAUUUCACAGAUUGAAGCUGGAUUCACUAAUUGCUUGUCUUUCAAAUCAUCAUCCAUUUGCUUGCAUCUCAGCACAUAUCCCAAUUUUUUUACGGUUCCACCCGAUACAUUGAGUGUGAGGCUAAAUCGUAAGCAAUCCUCGCCAAAUUCAAGAAAAUCAACAUCUCCCUCCAAUACUCCCCAUAGCACAUUCGGUUUGAGAUAUUGAAUCCACUUGUGAUUCGAAUUAAAUGAACCGAGAGAUCCCGAUAGCCCAUUCCGUCUUUGGCCGUUAAGAUGGGGCACGAUGUCGAAAAAUAUUUCCUUUUUACCAUCUUCUACAGUGAAAACAACACAGAGAGCUAAUCCCAAGAACUUAUUAUAAAAGUCUUGUGAAACCAUGAAAGAUAUGAUAUUGCCUUCAACAAUGAUGAACUCCUUUGGCAUAUCUCCUACGGGAAGAAUAUCCAUGUAGUGACGAGCAAUUUCAGAAUAGCGCCACUUCUGUUAUACCGGUAAAUUGUUAGACGUACUAAAGUUGAUAAUUAGUUAAAAUAGAAGAGUAUGAUUUGAGAAUUUUUCUGGUAAUUUAACCAAAGCUAGAGUUUUUGUAAUAAUUAAACAUAUCGAUCUUUUCCUUGCCUUAUAUGUAAUACUCAGGAAAUCAAUCACUUCACUUGUGAGUAUUGUCAUAGCACAUGGUGCAGAAUCACUCUACAUUAGAUUUGCUUAUUUGUAUAGAAUUUUCAGUUUCUGCGUUAUACAAAACACAGUGCGCCUGACGUAAACUCCAACAACAAAUCAACACAUGCACUUAUGAAUCCGCACGUAUCCCCGGGGACUGGAGAGAGAGAGAGAGAGAGAGAGAGAGAGAGAGAGAGAGAGAGACCUCAACUGAUAAGUCAGACCAUGACAUGUCCCCCAAGAUUUCCUCGUCUGUUUCUCUUUCACUUGUACAGUUUGCCUCUGACCUUGAUUGGUGAUUAUCUUCAUUGAGGGACAACUGCUAUUACAUAUAGGUGCAAAAUCACAAUAUAUGAGCUUGUUUUGUUCACUAGCAUUAGCAGUUUUGCAUUAUGAAAACACAAAGCGCCCAUAUCAAUCACACAAACACACCACAAUCGCGGAGAGAGAGAGAGAGACCUCAACUGAACAGUCAGCCAUGAUAUCUGCGGGUGGGGGGUCAUCCAUAUUGUCGCCUUCUUUUGAGCUUGUUUGGUAGUUGUCUUCAUGGUUUAUCCCCCGCUAUUACAUAUAGGUGCAAAAUCACAAUAUAUUAGCUUGUUUUGUUUACUAGCAUUUGCAGUUUUGCAUUAUAAAAACACAAAGCACCCAUAUCAAUCACACACACCACAAUCGCGGAAGGGGGGGAAGGGAGGGAGGGAGGGAGACCUUUUCCAGAUCUGAGAGAUCGGCCGAAAUUUCUUCCUCUCUGGUCGUUUCUUCAUCGGGAUGCCCAAUCUCAUAUAACAAACUUGGAUCUAACAACUUGUCAUCUUGAUUCAAAGCCUUCAACUCGUCCUCUAGUGACUUGCAUAUUAAUCCAAAUCCGCACUUUUUUACAAUUGCACCAUCCGAUGCUUUAAUGCGUAACUGGAAAGAACUUGAGUCAAAUGGACCAAAAGGGUCUUCUCCCCAUAGGUCCUUCAUUGCAUGCAAUUGUAAUAACACAUGUUCCGAAUGCAAUAUGGGGAACUGCCAUGGCCGGGAGAACUUAUCUUGGCAUCUGCCAUCAGUGUAUAAACUGAGCUUAAUGUCCUUUCGUUUCCCUUUCUUUACUCGAAAUACAACACAUAUAGCUAAUUUUAGAAACUUUUCAUACAAAGCCUUCGAAGCUGUGAAAGAUAUAUAACCCUCCUUAUUUGGGAGUAACCAUUGCGGCAUCUCUCCUCCAGGUAGAAUAGUUUCCCAAUGCAUUCUACCACGAUCUGAUAGAUAAAGAAGCGAUUCCCAAGCUUGCUGUCGUAAAAGUAAAUUGUUAAGAUAUUAUUUCGAAUUUGACACUCGAAAAAGGGGAGUUUCAAUUAGUCAAAUUUAGCUACAAUUAGCUAUAUAUGUACACGACUCAGUAUUAAUCAGAGAGGUGGGGAGGGAGGGAGGGAGGGAGAGUCUAACCUCUCUACGGACUGAAUCACGAAAUAAUCGGUUAAUGGACAAUAUGUCGGAGGGAGUUUUGCUUAGAGAUUCACAAUUCCCUGCCUUCAUUUGAAGCAAUAGACUUGAAACCUCACCAAUCUCUUGUAGUUGUUGGCAUUCCGAAACAUCCAAUUGAAGUAAAUUAUGUAGGUGCCCGCACGGUGGAAGCUUAGCAAAAUUAUUUUUGGACAAAUCCAAUUUUUUCAAGGAUGGAAAACAUGAAUGAUUCUCUAGGAACUCUACUUCUUGUAGAUUGCAUCCGCUAAGCGCUAACCACUCUAGCUUGGGAAAUCCUGUCUUGCUACAUUGAUCACUCGAAUCCUCCUCCUCCUUUGGAAACUUGAUUAGUUUUGAACAACCCUGAAGCCACAAGUCCUCAAGAUUUGGCAACUUGUAAAUGCUAGAUGGGAGGUUUGCCAAUUUCUUGCAACCAACUAAAUCCAAAAACUCCAAAGGGACAAGAUUUUCUACGGUUGCAGGAAGUUCCUCAAUUGAAGUCCCAUCUAAAAAAAGUGAUUGCAAGCAUUUCAUUUUUUCUGGAAUAUCAGGGAAUCUUUGCAACUUUGAGCAACCACUAAGAUCGAGCCUUUCAAGAUUCUUGGGUUGGAGUGUAUCGGGGAGAUGAUGAAGGUUAGAGCAACCAUUUAGAUCCAACGUCCUCAACUUGGCAUGAUAUGCAACUGAUUCAUGAGCACGCUCCAAAUUUUUGCACCAACUGAGAUCCAACUCCUCGAGAUUUGGACAAAAAUCGAGGUUCGGCAUAUGAACCAUGGACAGACAUUCCCAGAACUUAAGGAACUUCAAAUUUUUAAAGUCCUGCAAGAAAUAUCCACAUGGAAAGAAAAUGAAGAUAAAAAUAUUUAAUGAAAAAUACUUGAUCAUCAUUCAGGACCCGUGUGGUCAGAAAUUAGUUGAUCAUGUGGUGUAUACAGAGCACUCCCACUCCCUUAUUAAAUAUGAGUUUAUUAAGCGAUCCUUGGACUGGCCUACAAAGGCGGUGAUUUGGCCAAGGGAGACCUAGUGUAUGUUGUCUCUUUCCUAUCCUCCAUAGUGGGGUUUUUCCACUUCAUUUAGAUUGAAAAACCCCUUCUAUUUAUUUGUUCGCUCAACACAUUCCGGCGUCAAUGUGGCCGACAAGCAUGACAGCAUAAUUGAAAGUCCACGGAGUUUGUCUCUUUUGAGGCAUAGGAAGAGAAAACUGAAAGAGUAUGCACAAGAUUUGAAAAAAAAUUGAUAUCUGAAAAAUUGAGCAGAACCACUAAAUUAGAAAUAUUUAAUGGAAAGAAAUUGUUGGUAAACACACAAUACACAAACAUAGAAUGAAUGUAGGAUAUUUCAAGAUUAAAAUUUGCAAUAAGAAAUUUGUUAUGGGAUAGAAAAGAUUAAAAUUUAGAUUGUGAAACAUGUGAGAGAUAAAAUAGACUAAUAGUUUACGCACCUCUCAAUAAAUACAAUAUUCGUAAAAUAAGUAAUCGAGACAUUAUGGGGAAGGAAUUAAAUUGAAAUCCCGCGGAAUGUCACCUUUACUUUGUACAGUAGUAUUUAUAUGAAUAUAAAUAUAAUACAUAUAUACAUAACUUAAGAUUAGAUUUAAGUUAAAUUAUAUUUAAAUUAGCAAAGCGAGCCCCUUACUUCUCUUUAGAAAGCCUUAUUAGUCAUGCGUGAAAGCCAUUACUCGCUACCAGCGUCCUAGAUGUGGUGCGCUAGUGCGUCUAUAAAGUAAGACUCUUCCAUGGAAUUGUACUCCACGAGCUUUUAUUUAAAAUAGCGGGAGAAGGAAUGGCUGGUCAAUCUAUCUCCCCUGAGAGUUGCUUUUCGUCCUGUGAUUUCUCACUUAGGAAUAAAUGGAGUAAGGGCGCAACCGAAUGGCCCGAUUGAAAGGAAAGGAGGGGAACGUGUUACAUACUUGGAAGGAGAAGGAGAAACUUCCAGUUAUAUUUGAAAAUGAAUAUUUUAUCCGUAAAGAUGAAGAUAACUUUCUUGGAGUUCCGCUUAUUCCUCCUAAAAAUAAAGAAGUACUUGCCAAAAAUCUAUCGUUAGGUCAGCACAAUAAAAUAAAAAGAGGCGGGACUUUUGGGGUUGACUUACAGUAAAGACUCAACUCCUUUAAAGAUCCUUUACUACACGAUUUCUACAUAUCUUUGCAUUAUCGACUGCAUUCUAUUAUAGAGACAACAACGGGAGGUUCAAUUAAAAGUACCUAGCGUGCAUUCGCUUCAAUGUUAAAGUAAAUAAGCAAGAAAAAUCUCAUUCUAUUUUCAUAUGCAAUUUCAAAAGGAAUCUAGUAAGCUUGUCUCUUAUAUAAAAUAUAUAAUCUUUGAUAGCAUUUUUAGUAUCUAUCAUUUCAAAGGCACACAAAUUGAAUCCUCAGGCAGUUCAUGUUUAUUAAAAUACUAAGCACGUUCACCAUUCAAUUGUUAAAUUAUGUCACCAAUAAGUUCUUGUUCCAAUUUUCGGUAUUAAAGGUACUGACCGUAUAAGUCCAUUCUUCUUAUAAUUUCGGUACUUCUAACAUUUGAAAAUGAGAUUGAAUUUUUUUAGCAAGCAUCUUUGUUCGAAUCGACAAUAAAAUUUACAUAGAAAAGUGUUUAAUACUCCCCUAAAACGGGAAGAAUUUAAUCAAAUAUAAACAAUUCAAUAGAUGCAGAUGUUUCUUAAGCAUAAUUAACAAGCAUCAUCAAAGUUAGUAAUUGUCGCAUCCAGAGUUUUCUAUAAGACAUGCAUAUAUAUAAUCAUAACCAUAUACAUACGGAUAUAGAUAUGUAAGAGAUAAGUAAAUAAGGAUAAUUCAUUUGAAUGUGCACCUUGAAUUGGUCCACCGGGACUUGAAUGUUGCUUUUGCACAGAUCAAGUCUGACUAACUUCUUUGGGCCAGGGGGAAAUUUGAGAACCGAAAAAGGACAUUCAGGCCAUUGUAACCAUCUCAGUGCAUUAGGAAGACAGAUAGGACCUUGCAAAGAGUUUUGCACAUUAAUCAUGAUGAGCAACCUCAAUCUUCUCAUGUUUGUGAAAGCAUUGGGACCUAUGUAUAUUACUUCUGUCUUGGGUAAAUCCAAAACUAUGGCUUUUACUGCAUCUGUUCCCUGCAUUUAUAGAACUUGCAUUGCAAUUAGCAUACGAAGUCAGAGAAGAAGAGAGCAAAAUCAGUGUUUAAACCACCAAAACUUACCAUUUCCCCUGAUAGAACUUCACAGACAUCUUCACAAAGCCAUAUCCUGCUGCGUCUUCCAGGAUCAUCGUGACAUUCUUGUUUAACAAUAUCCAUGCCCAUCAACUGAAUCAAGCCAUGCAUUUGUAUUGUAUCACAUUCCUUAGUUAUUAAGGACUUAUCAACAAGAACUUGUACUCCAAUCAUUGUGUCAAAGUCGCAACUGUCAAGGACUUCUAUAAUGUACUCUACAUAUCGCCCCUUGAAGAAACAUGCAAUAUCAAGGAAUAUCUCCUUUGCAUAGUCCUCUAGUCCAUCGAAACUUAACUUGAGAACAUCAUUGAUGUCUUUGUCAGGAUUUUUGGCAAGUUUACUCAAUGCCCUUUCCCACUGCUGUUCUGUUCUACCACAUAGGAAAGAGCCCAAUACCUCAAGCGCUAAGGGAAGACCAUUAGCAUAAUGCAAAGCACUAUCCACAAGAUCCCUCCUUAUCACUAUUUCCUCACUUCUAAGAAAAGCAUGUUUAUUGAAAAGUUCAAGAGCUUCCCGAUACCAUAGAGUUUUAACUUUAUAGAUAUGAUCUUCAUCUAUCCCAUGGACAGUUAAUAGAUGGUUAUCUCUCGUAGUAAUGAUGAUUCUGCUUCCUUUACCAAACCAUUCACGCUCUCCAGCUAAAGCAUUUAACUGUUUUACGUCAUCAACAUCGUCGAGAACAAGGAGGACUCUUUUCCGGCAAAGUCUACGUUGCAUCAAAAUAAUACCUCCAUCAACACUAGACACUGUUAAUUCUUUUCCCACUAAUAUCUCGGACAACAAUUUUUCCUGCAAAUGAACUAAAUCCUUGGAAUCUUUUGAAGUUUCACGAACGUUUGCCAAAAAACAUGAAGCCUCAAAUCCUCUGAAUAUAUCAUUGUAAAGGGCUUUGGCUAAUGUUGUUUUUCCUAUGCCUCCUUGUCCCCAUAAUCCUAUCAUGACAACAUCAUCACGAGACUCAAGAUUUAACAUAGAUUCCAGCUUUACCACUGUCGAUGUAUUCCAACCGGAUGCUUGGCAACGUGUAACGGUGUUCGGUCUAGCUGCAUAGAGAUCUCCUGCACAAUUCUCUUGAUAAGAUCCGCUUCCGCUUCAUCUCUGACAAAAUCCGGAAAGGUACUAGAUACAUCAAUUUCCAAAGAUAAUUAACUUUCGUGGAAAAAGAAGAAGAGAUUCAGCAUAUAAAAAAGAAAAAACAAAGCAGUGUCACAUCAAUCACUACUUAGUACUUACUUAUCCUUCAAUUCCCACCCAGACAAGCUACCCGCAUCAAGGAGAGCCUUCUCCCAUCUCUUCACUUUCUCUGAAUCUCUCCCAAACUUGUUCUCAUGCUUAACCAUAGCUUCUCGGUAGUUCCCUCUUGGUGUUCUCACUUCUCUAGGAUCCACUUUGUAAAACACCGGAAAUACCGUGAGUCCUCUUUGCUCCUUGCACUCCAUGAUUUUCUCCACCUCUUCCAAACACCACGGUGAGGAAGCAUAGUCCUCGGAGAAAAUGAUGAUCGCGAUACAUGACUCCUCAAUUGCCUUCAUAAGCGCCGGCUUUAUACAGUUGCCUUUCCGAAGCUCCUCACUAUCAACAUAACUGUAGAUUCCUUUUUGGGCAAGCGCCGUGUAGAAAUGACUGAGGAAGCUUUUUCGAACGUCCGUACCUCUGAAACUCAGGAAGACAUCAUAAUUCCCUUUCAGAUCUGAAGAAGCAGCCAUUAGAGGAGAUGAAGUUUGAUGUGCUUCCUCAGAAUGCGUAGUGCCAGGUCGGGUUGCAGCUCUAUCUCUCAUAUGGAUAUCACCUUGUACUAAUAAAGAAACAGAAACAAAAACCAGAUCAUUUCUGAUGCUCCGAGUCGAUAAGCAUAUACUCCACCAACUAAUUUAACAGAAAGCGGCAUUUUGCAUAAGGUGCACGGAACCAUCCUAUAUAGGUGCUUCUUGACUUGACUUGCCUUUUCCAUUAAUAAAAGAAAUAGAAAAGAAAACUAGCAACACUCCCAUGUUCCUGGUGCUAAUAUACAUGAGUCAAUCGCAAAACACCGCCUGUUGGAAUAUUAUUUAUAAUGAAAAAUAUGCCUUUUUUUCUUUCCAAAGGGCUUUCUACAAAAGCAAAUCCCAAAAUAAAUUUCCCUCACUUUUCAAACUAAAAUUUUCCAUACCAUAUCUUGCAUCAAACGGAAGAAAUUUGAAUCUGUUAAGGCAUUUCUUCAAACACGUAGUGGGCAGCGAGUUGGAGAGCGAAUAUGGACCAAUUCGGAGCUCGAGCUGAAACCUAAACUCGACAAAUCAGCGAGCAACGUUCAAACUUAAGAAAAACCGACUCAUUCAGGUCCGACGCGAGUGAGGACUAAAGAAAUCGAGCUUGCUUUGGUCUUUUAAAAUCAAGCAGGACGAGGCAAAAAAAGAAGAAGGAACGAGCAUUCAAUCAUGGGGCCCCUACCUGGCUUGGAUUCCGUGGCCAUCGUCGGCGGCGAAGGUUGAGAAUAGCGACUCCAAACUCGUGUCCCGGCUUCAGUCGACUCCACCGAGGUCAGUGACCGCGACGACGAAUGACAGCGGGCGGAGGAUGUUCUGGAGGUGGUGGACGACGUCGAUCGGCGGUGGCUCCGAGGUUUUGUGUGGGGCUUCAAUGGCGACCGUUCCGGGAGUAGAGAAAGACGAAGAUUCUUUUUCUUUUCUUUUUUUUUCGUGAGAGUAAAGAAGUAGGUGACAGUGAAGGAGUAAGGUAGGGUUCCUGGAAUGGGAAGCGAGAGCAGUCGCCGGCAGGAGGUAGUCGGACGGAGAUGGUGGAGGUGGCUGGCCGGUUGAGUUCAGGAGAAAGGGUGGGGAAUGCCCUUUUUUUCUUUUCCAGAAAAAUGUCCCUGAAGAUGGUGCUCUCCUCUUCCUCCCUUUUCGUGAACACCCUGCCUUUCUUUUUUUUUUUUUUUUUUUAUGGGAAAUUGUGUCUUUUUGAGAGAGAGCGUGAGAGAUUCCUAGAAAGAACUUCCCUUUCAGAUUCGAAGAAGCAGCUAUUAUAGGAGAUGAAAGUUGAUGUGCUUACUGCUUACGCAGAAUGCUUACUGCCUGGUCGGGUUUUGCAGCUUUAUCUCUCGUGUGUGUGUAUAUCACUUUAUUCUUUUUUAUCAUGACUUUCUCGAAUCACGCGGUAGUGAUAAUCAAAGAAAACCAUACAAAAGAAAGUAAAGGUGAAUUAUUCCACGCAUAAUUUCCACGGAAGUUGCAUAAAAUUUACGCGUGUCCUUCCUUUCUUUUCCUCAGUCGACUUGACUUGCUUUCUCUAUUGAUUAAGAAAUAGAAACAAAAACCAACGAAUAGUUUCUGAUGCUCCUAGUCGGCAAGCAUAUUGUCCACCAACUAAUUGUUCGAAUUAUUACCGUUCUCCCAUCAGAGUGGUAUCAAAACAUCAAGUUAUUGCUUGAUUUUUCUGCCUUGUGUUAAACAAUGGAAACGAAUACAAGUAGAAUGGUUACAUUGAAUGGUUCAAAUUAUCAUAUCUGGAAAGGGAAGAUGGAAGAUCUUUUAUAUGUGAAAGAUUUUUAUUUGCUUGUAUUUGCUGAGGAGAAACUAGAGAAUAAAACUGACACUGAAUGGUCUAUAUUUCAUCGUCAAGUGUGGGGUUAUAUUAGGUAAUGGGUAGAUGAUAAUGUUUUAAACCAUAUUAUUGAGGAAACACAUGUACGCAGUUUAUGGGAUAAGCUCGAACAGUUAUAUGCUCGAAAGACUGGGAAUAAUAAGUUAUUUUUGAUAAAACAGAUGAUGGCUCUGAGAUAUCAUGAUGGUACUCGUUUAACUAAUCAUUUAAAUUAUUUUCAAGGAAUUAUAAAUCAGUUGGCUGCGAUGGGAAUCAAGUUUGAUGAUGAGAUACAAGCACUAUGGUUGCUUGGUACUUUGCCAGACUCAUGGGAGACGUUCCGAACAUCUUUGUCUAAUUCUGCCCCGGAUGGUACAAUUACCAUGGAUUUAGCCAAGAGUAGUAUUUUGAAUGAAGAGAUGAGAAGGAAGACACAGGGAUCAUCCUCUUCAUAUUUUGAUGCCUUGGUUGUUGAGAAAAUGGGGAGAAGUGAGUCUCGAGGUUCGAGAAAUAGAGAUAAAAGUCGAGACAAAAGCAGAGGUAAGUAUAUUGAGUGCCAUUAUUGUCAUCAGAAGGGACAUAUAUAGAGGUUUUGUCGCCAGUUAAAAAGGGAGAAACAAAAGGAGAAAGGUAAAGAGAAGAAAAGUGAUGAUGACAGUGAUGACAAUCGUGUCGCUGCACUUAAAGAAGACUUUCUCACUAUUUUUUAUGGUGAUGUGGUGAAUUUUGUUUCUCAUGAGACCAGUUGGGUAAUUGAUAGUGGUGCAUCCGUUCAUGCUACAUCUUGUAGGGAUUUCUUUACAUCAUACAGGUCAGGUAACUUCGGAUCUGUGAAGAUGGGAAACAAUGGACUAGCUCAAGCUGUAGGCAUCGGUGAUGUGUGCCUAGAAACCAGCAAUGGCACAAGGUUAGUAUUGAAUAAUGUUAAAACAUAUACCUGAUAUCCGCUUGAAUUUGAUUUCUACAGGCAAGUUGGAUGAUGAGGGGUAUUGCAGCACCUUUAGUAAUGGUCAAUGGAAGCUCACCAAAGGUUUUCUUGUUGUGGCUAGAGGUGAAAAAAUAUUCUUCGUUAUACAUUAUGCAGGCAAAGUUGUCCACAGACAAAAUUAAUGCAGUAGAUAGUGAAGAUGCAGCUAAGUUAUGGCAUAAGAGGCUCAGUCACAUCAGUGAGAAGGGUUUGUCAAUAUUGGCCAAGAAGAAGCUCCUUUCAGGAUUAAAAAGUUCAGUGCUAAAGAAGUGUGCUCACUAUUUAGCAGGAAAACAGAACAGAGUUGUAUUUAAAAGCUCCCCUCCUUCAAGAAAGUCAGGUAUACUGGAUUUAGUGCAUUCUGAUGUUUGCGGUCCUAUGAAAACAAAAUCACUUGGUGGCUCUCUUUAUUUGGUUACCUUCAUAGAUGAUUUUUCAAGGAAAAUUUGGAUUUAUACCUUGAAAACUAAAAAUCAAGUGUUAGAUGCUUUUAAGCAAUUUCAGGCUUCAGUUGAGAGACAGACUGGAAAGAAAUUGAAAUGCAUUAGAACUGAUAACGGGGGAGAAUAUAUUGGACAUUUUGAUGAAUACUGCAGACAACAAGGUAUUCGACAUCAAAAGACACCUCCCAAGACGCCUCAGUUAAAUGGUUUAGCUGAGAGAAUGAACAUAACAUUGGUUGAAAGGGUAAGAUGCUUACUUUCACAGUCAAAGCUGCCUGGAUCAUUUUGGGGUGAGGCUUUAAGUACAGUUGUGCAUAUAUUAAAUCUUACUCCAUGCGUUCCUUUAGAGUUUGAUGUUCCUAAUAGAGUUUGGAUAGGCAAAGAAGUUUCUUAUGAUUAUUUGCGUGUAUUUGGGUGCAAAGCAUUUGUGCAUGUUCCCAAAGAUGAGAGGUCUAAACUUGAUGUGAAAACACGACAGUGCAUAUUUAUUGGUUAUGGACAGGAUAUGCUUGGCUACAAAUUUUAUGAUCCACUUGAAAAGAAAAUUGUAAGAAGCAGAGAUGUUGUGUUUAUGGAAGAUCAAACAAUAGAGGAUAUUGAAAAAUCGAAGAUGAUUUCAGCACCACAGGUUAGUGAUAAUCUGGUUGAUUUAGAUCCAGUUCCUCUUACAAAUAUUCCUACACAGGUUGAUGAAGAGCAGCAGGAAGUCAAUGUUCCAAAUAACGCACAUGUUCCUGAACAUGUUGAAAUAGAUAAUACUAUUCCUGAACCAGAGGCUCAAUUAGAUGUUUCACUGGAUGUUCCAGUCCGGAGAUCCUUUAGAGACCGACGACCUUCCACCAGGUAUUCUGAAAAUGAGUAUGUAUUAUUGACUGAUGCAGGUGAACCAGAGUGUUAUGCAGAAGCAAUAGAAGAUGAGUACAAAAGCAAUUGGUUCGAUGCUAUGCGAGAUGAGAUGCAGUCACUUUAUGAUAAUCAUACUUUUGAAUUGGUGAAGUUACCUAAAGGUAAAAGAGCUUUGAAGAACAAGUGGGUAUAUAGGUUGAAGCAAGAUGAACAUACUUUACAACCACGGUACAAAGCUAGAUUGGUUGUUAAGGGAUUCGGUCAGCGAAAGGGUAUUGAUUUUGAUGAUAUAUUUUCUCCGGUAGUGAAAAUGUCUUCUAUCCGUGUGGUACUAGGCUUGGCAGCUAGCCUAGAUUUAGAAAUUGAGCAAAUGGAUGUUAAAACGGCCUUCUUACAUGGUGACUUGGAGGAAGAGAUAUACAUGGAACAACCUGAGGGUUUCAAAGUGAAAGGGAAAGAGGACUAUGUGUGCAAAUUGAAGAAAAGUCUCUAUGGCCUAAAACAAGCACCGAGACAGUGGUAUAAGAAAUUUGCGUCAGUUAUGACAGAACAGGGCUAUAAGAAGACUUCCUUGGAUAACUGUGUGUUUGUCCAAAAAUUUUCUGAUGGUGACUUUAUUAUUCUCUUGCUUUAUGUUGAUGAUAUGAUGAUUGUUGGCAGGAAUGCUUCAAGAAUUGAGUUAUUGAAGAAACAGUUGAGCAAGUCUUUUGCCAUGAAAGACUUGGGCUCGGCGAAGCAAAUUCUUGGCAUUAGAAUUACCCGAGACAGAGAUGCUAAGAAGUUGUUUUUGUCACAAGAGAAAUAUAUCGAAAAGAUCCUUCAGAAAUUUUACAUGGACAAGGCUAAAGUGGUUAGUACUCCUCUUGCUACCCACUUUAAGUUAAAUAUGAUGCAAAGUCCUACGACUGAUAAAGAGAAGAAAGAUAUGGAAAGUAUUCCAUAUGCUUCAGCUGUAUGAAGCUUAAUGUAUGCGAUGGUAUGUACACGCCCAGACUUGGCGCAUGCAGUUGGCGUUGUUAGCUGCUAUUUGACAAAUCCAGCUAGAGAGCACUGGAAUGCAGUGAAGUGGAUUAUGAGGUAUCUUCGGGGAACUUCAAAUUUGAAACUCAGUUUCAGGAUCGGGAAACUUGAGUUAGUUGGAUACACAGAUUCCAACUUGGCAGGAGAUAUUGAUACUCGUAAAUCUACUUCUGGUUAUUUGAUUUCUUUUGCGGGUGGAGCUGUGUCAUGGAAGUCAAGAUUGCAAAAGUGUGUUGUACUUUCUACAACCGAAGCUGAAUUUAUUGCAGUGACUGAAGCUAGUAAAGAGAUGCUAUGGAUGAAGAAGUUCUUAGAAGAACUUGGAUUUAAGCAAAAGAAGUAUGUGCUAUUUUGUGAUAAUCAAAGCGCAAUUCAUCUUGGUAAGAAUUCAUCUUUUCAUUCUAGAUCGAAACAUAUUGAUGUUUGAUAUCAUUGGAUAAGGGAUGUUCUAGAUGAAAAGUUGUUGGAACUUGAGAAAAUUUAUAUGGAUCAUAAUGGCUCCGAUAUGAUGACGAAGACUCUACCAAGAGAGAAGCUUGAACAUUGCCGUUUGAUAGCAGGGAUGGUGAAUCCCUCCACAUUGUCGUGAGGGGGAGAUUUGUUAGCUGGGUUCACUCCUAUGUGGAGGAAGCCAAUGAGUUGCAAGCUCAAAAAGGGCUUGAGCUCAUAUAAUAAGUUAUAUGAAGAAAUAUGGUUUCUCACUAUCUAUAUAAAGAUGUAGCAGCAGAAAAGGAAAUAGUAACAAGAGAAAAAGAGAACAUAAAAUCUGGGGUUUGGGGCAAUAUCUGAUUUACAUCAAGCUAGCGUUGGAGGUCAAUUCGUGGUCCGAUUGAGCUGAAAUUUUGUCAGCAUGUUCGUGGCGCAAUUUAAUCGAAUCUGAAUGGUUUGAUUUUCGUUUGAAGCUCCAUACAUAAGGUUUUUCGUGGAUUGAUCAAAACCUGCGUUUUUGGUCAGAUUUAUCCUUGAUCUCUUGUGAAGUUCAUGUGUAUUGCCAAGAAUCAUGUUCUUGAGGUGUUUACUGCUAUGUACCUCUAGUAUUUGCUAGAGAAGAACAAUUUUAUUGAUAGUGAAGAUUUUCAGGUGGACUCCGGUCUCGUGGUUUUUUAUCUCCUCACAUCGAGGAGGUUUUCCACGUAAAAAUCGUCUUGUGUUCGCGUGCUUGGUAUUUAUUUUACUCUACUAUAUCAAUUCUUAUUAGGUUUACACAAGAGGGGAGAUUAUUUUAUUCCGCUGCGUUGAUUCGAUAUUGUUCGAAUUAUUACCGUUCUCCCAUCACUAAUUUGAUAAAAAGUAACAUUUUGCAGAAGGUGCGUGGAAUCACUCUGCGUAGUGCUUCUCGACUUGACUUGCCUUUUCCAUUAAUUAAAGAAAUAGAAAAGAAUGCUAGCUGUCCUCUCGUGCUCCUAGUACCAGUGUACAUAAGUCAAUCACAAAACAUUGCCUAUUGGAUUAUUAUUAUUAUUAUUAUUAUUAUUUUUUUUUUUUUUUUUUUUUUUUGUGAUCCAGGGAACUCCGUACAACCAGCAGCCGACGGAUAAACCCUGAGGUGAUGCUAAGGAACCACCACCCUGACGCCACGGGUAAGUCGACAAAUGACGACUUUGAGAUUCGAACUUAUCCCUGUCGUGAGGAGGACAAAGCCCGAACCAACGCUGCCACCACAUGGGGUGGUGCCUAUUGGAUUAUUAUUUAUAAUGAAAAAUCUGACGUUAGGGAUUCUAGAUAAGCAAAUCCCCAAGUAAAUUUUCCUCACUUUUCAAACUCAAUUUUUCCACAUCAUAUCUUGCCUAGAGAUUAUUGAGUCAUCACCCCCUCAGCUAAGUCACUUUGAUCUUACUCCUUAAAUUAUUUUUGUUUUUGAUAUUUUAUAUUUAUUUUAUACUUUUAAUGUCACAUUUAGAAUUUCUCGACUAAUAAGUUAUCCAUCGACCAAAAAAAAAAAACUAAUAAGUUAUCCACAAUCAAAUAACUAUUUAGGGAGUACUUUUUUCCUUUUUUAUUUCAUUUUUGUCGAACCUUUUAUUCCAUGUUAACACUCUUUUUUUCCGAACUUCUUAGUAAAGAUAAUCACUUAUUCAUCUGAAGGUGUUUGUCAUUAGUGAUCAAAUAUCGUGAACUAACAAUAUUACAAUAUUAGCUUUAUCUUCCAUUUAAAGCUGGAGCCUUACGACUUUGAAUAGCAAUGAUGUGUAGAGGAUUCGUGAGAUGGGAGCUUUUGCUUUGAUGUCUCAGUUAUAUUAUUUAGUACAUGCACAGCUGCCUUUCGGCGAUGUUCUCAUGUAGGAGCUCUUGGACACCUCUUGCCAAUAAAAGGAUAGCGAAAGGUUGAGAUUUUUAUUUUGCAUGGGUUAUAGUAUGACUGGUGGAUGAUGUUGAGAGAACUUGCAAUCUAGGAGUGAUUCCGAGUGUUUUUUUUUUUUUUUAAUCUCCUUGCAUAUCAAAUGAGAAAUACUAAAUCCUUUUAUAUAAAGUUUGUGCACUCUCUCUUGGCUUGAAUUACUGAAUUCAUCUGGUACCAUCACGGUAUUUUGGUACUCUGUGGAGGGCUUUAUAGAGAGUUGACAUGUGGCUCAUUUGAUGCUUGCCACCUCACAUUCGUUUGCUUUAAUUUAUUCAUCCUUCUUUAUCUCUUCAUUUCCAAGAAGAAAUUAUUAACAGUAAAGAGUACUUUGUCUAAACGAGGAUGAUGUGUACCAAAAUACCGCGGCACCACGAGCAGCAAGCAAAUGUCGCGAGCGUGAUUUUGGUGGCUAAAAUUCGCAUGAUUAUUUGGUAUGCCUUUUCAUGAUUCGCUUACUAGAGAUAUAUCAAUAGAUAAUGGGAAUGAAGACAUCCAAAUUUAGAGUGCGUGCCUAUUAAUUAACUUGAGAGGAUAGCUUUGAUGUGCAAAUCAAGGUACAUUUGAUAACGCUUUUGUUCCAGAGAAUGAUUCAUUUUCAGAAAUAGUCUUUUUCUAUUUUCAUUCCCCAGAAUAAUUUAUCAGUAAAAGAAUGCGUCUAGUAAAUAUAUAAAAUUUCUAUUCUCGGAAUAGAAAAAGAAUAUGAAUAUGUUUGGUACGAUUCACAAAAUUUUUUCUAAUGUAGAAUUUCUUUUAACUUUUUUCUUACUUUUCCUUAUCGCUGCUGUUGAUUGCCGAUCGGCUACUGUUGUCGCCGUUGACCGAUGACCGCUGACUAGUGACCGCCGCCACUAUCGAUUGAUGAUUGCCGCUUGCCGUUGAUGACCGCUGAUGCUGCUGCUUGCUACCACCAUUGGCUGGCGGCGGUGACGGUAGCGUUGGUGGGCGAUGGGCGACGACGAUGGGCGUUGGCGAUGGUGAUGGUGAUUGGCGACGGUCGGCAGUCGGCGGUCAGCCAACAAUAGUGGUUAGCCAAUCGGCAGGUGGCAGUCAACAAAGAAGAAGAAAAUAAAAGAAAAAAUAAUUCAUUUUUAAAAAUUGUUUUCUAGAACAAUAAGUUACUUUUUUCUACUUCUUGUUUUUGUUCAAAAUCUAUUUCCUGGUCACUUUUCUAUCUUGGGGAAUAGAAAAAUUAAUUGACGUUACCAAAUGGAUUUAUGUUCUUUUUUUAUUUCAAGAAACAAAAAAAAAAUUAGGAGAAAUAGAAACGUUACCAAAUAGGGUCUUAUUUUUCAAAAGACGUAUUGGUUAUGCAAGGAUGAAGAUGCUAGUGCUAAUUUGAGAAAUGUGUUUUGAUUUGAGUAUGUCUUCACCAAUAAUUGGUACGUCAUAUUUUUCUUUAUGCACUAGACAUUCUAGUUACAAAUUGGAUAAGUAUUACCUUUUCCUUUCGUUGCUCAAGCAUGAAAAUAGACCAAGCCUUUUUAUUUAGUCGAAAGUCAUGCGAUUGGUUUGAUGCAUAAAAUCAAAGAAAUUAGAAAAAAUCUACAAGAACACCUGUAAGUGAUUUCUUGGUACGCUAGUAUCUUAGUUUUUGAUGCUCUAGGGCGAAGGAUCUUCCGCUUGAGCAGGGCCCUUUUCAUUUAAUGCUUAGCGAUGAUAAUCUCAGACAAAUCAAAGUGGAAGUCCUUCCAAAAGCAUUAGAUACUAUUGACGAGAGUUGCUAAGAAAGAUUGUUUUCUUAGUGUUCCAUUCAAAUUAUUGAGUCCAAAAAGGAUUUCCGUAUUAAGCAAGCAUACUAAUUACGUUGAUCAUUAUGAAUUUAAUGUGAUUUGACGAUAACUCUUGUUGUCUUUUUUGCUUAGUCAAAAGUGCAAGGGAGUAUUUUCUCAUUCACCUUCGUGGUAGCUUCACUUCUCGUGACUUCACUCUAAGAAAUAAAAAUGAUCAAAGUUGAUUUUGAUGCUCAUACGUGGAGUGAAUCCAAGGGUGGAGCGAGUCUAGUGACUGAUUUCCAUUGCAUUUCUUUUACAAAAAUGCUUAUAUUUGAACCCCUGAAAAUAUCACAUGCUCACCGCUCAGCAAAUAUUUGAAUGACUGACAAGCUCAAAUUUUUAUUUAAUACUAAUUUAGUCACUUCAAGUUCUUACUGAAAUAAUAUCUACUCUAAGUUCUCUUUUAAAAAAAUAACCUCAUCCAAGCUUUUAUUUGGAAUUUUCAUUUAUUAGUUCUGAAAGAUGCUCUGUGUUUCCCACUAAGACGAGUUAUAAAGCUGCAAGCCUGCAAUAAGCUAUGAUUUUGAUUGAUCAUUUUUAUCCAAAUUCCUUGGGCUAACUUUCUGAAAAUAAGCCCCAAUGCCGGUGUCGCUUCUUCGGCCACAGUAUAAUCGACUCGGCCUAUUUUAUUUCGGGAUUUCACCUACUUCACCAGUUCACUAGUUCGAACUGCACCAUCACAAUUUGUUCGCUCGCGUGUGCUUAGAAGUCUCUACUUCUAAGAACUAACUUCACAAGCCACACUAGCAGUCACCUUUCAACCCACUUUCCUUCAAUUUGGUAUUGACAUCACCAAAGUGCGAAAUUACUUUUUUCAAAUCAUCGAAUCAUUUUCUUAAGUGGAAAAUCAUGAGCUUAAGUGGUAAACAAGUUAAACAUUAGUCAUGUUGACAUUAAGUGUCAUUUAAAAUGAGAUGUCGUAAAAAUGGGAACCAAAAUAUGCCCCAUAACAUUACUUUAAAUGGUUUCACUUUAGAGUAACAUUUACUUAGUAACCUAUUUUUACUUGUAUAGGCACAUAUUUGGACCUCGAUUCGUAUUUGAUGAACUCAAACUGUGUAAUACGUGCUUUGACUUUCUGAUAUCAUACUUCACUUGCACUAACUCGGUUGUCACAUCUUUUUUGCACCUCUUUUUUUUCUCUGACACGGGCCAAACACCAGUCUCACUCAUUAGAUCUGUGGGCACAGGUCAUCGGGCGUAUUGCCUUAUCGAUCAAUAAUUCAAACUAGUCUUUUUAGGCCUGUUUAAUAAUACUCUCAAGAAUAACUGAUUGUUUUUUUUGUUUCUAGGAGUAGAACAAGAAUAGAAAUCCAUUUGAUAAAUUUUUUGUUUCUUGAAAUAAAAAUCAAUUUUUUUUUUCUUGGGAAUAUAUUUGAAAUAGAAUCAAGAAGUAGAAAAAAGUUGAUUCUUGCUCCCGGGAAUAAUUUCUAGAAUCAAUUCCAUUUUUUUUUUCAAUUCUCUUCUCUUUCCUUUUCUUCUUCUUCUUCAUUUUAGCCAGCGAUUAGCCAGACGAGUGUUGGCGACCUCGUUGGAUCAUCGCUGGGCUCGAUCGCCAGCCUGUAGUGAGGCCGAGCUUGGCCUCACCAGGUCGGGCGAGGUUGACCUCACGCCGCUUGGGCAAGGUCGAGCCUCACUGGUGGCCUGGUGAGGCACACCUGACCACUGGCGAGGCUUGGCCUCGCGUAAUUUUGGCGAGGCCGAGACUUACCUUGGCCAGGCUCACCUUUGGCGAGCUCGUUGGAACUUGCCCCAACCAAUCGCUGGGCACCAGCUACCAAGAAGGAGGAAGAAGAAGAGAAAAAGAAAAAGAAAAAUAAGAAAAUAUAAUAAAAGUAUUAAAAAUUAAAAGAAACAAAAAAAGUUAAUAAUUCUACCAAACGCAUUUUUAUUCCGGUAAUAGAAAUUUUGGAUAAUUACUAAGCGCUUUCUUUUUCUAAAAAAUUGUUCUCGAAAAUAGAAUCAAGAAAAAUAAUUUCUGAUAAAAAAUCAUUACUUUAUUUAUUAUUCUUUUUUUUUUUAAUCUAAUCGUCUUCUUCUUAUCAUCUUCCUUGUGCAUAUCUCAAAAAGCUAUGCUCUACUAAAUAAACAGACUCAACCUCAUAAGUGAUCGACGUAUUCGAGCAUUGAAUGAAACGUCACCGUUGUCUGGCUUCGGUCACGUGGAGCACCACCAUCGUCCGUUAACUGUCAUGCAUAAAGCUGUGGUUUGCAGAAAGACACGCAGAGGGGAAGAACUGGACCUCAUCCAGCGCGAGAUUCACCAAGCUAAUCAACGUAUGGGUCAAAGAUUUUGAGCCACGUUUCUCGCCAAGCAUAAAGGACAAUCAUCAUGGGGCCAUAUAGAUGCAAAACAUAGCAAAAAUAGAUAAUCGGCGACAUAUUUGGAGACCACAAAGUGUCCUGGAAAGGAAAGCAGAUCCGUAAUAAAUGGGGAAAAACAUUUUAAUCCACAAUGCAUAGACUAAUAACCACGUCCCAUAAUCAGUAUCGUUCAACAAAAUCAAUCCGAAUGUGUCAGUUUUGCUUCCUAAUCAAUCAAUAACACGAGACAAGGAUCACAGAUUUAACUCACGCAUUCCAUCAAACACUUGGUGAGCAUCUCAGGAAAAAGACUCAAUGUAACACCACACCACAAUCCAAAUACUUCUUUCUUUGCAGAAAGGGUUUGAUUCAUCCAGGAAAGAAAUGAUUUCAAUCCUGGCCUCUUCCCAGACAUACACCAGCGUCAACUUCAUUAACGAAAUGACCGAAAGAAAUGUUCCAAAACCAACCUUGCCGAGGUGGGAUUUUCAACCACGACUACUGAGUAAACUCGUCCAAAGAGGUUCAGGUAAGCGUCGAUCAACGAACUUGAGAUCGAUACACGGAGAUUGAGCGGGACUUGACAACUUCAGAGUUUUCGCCUACAAAACAAGGCAAGGCAACGCUUCUCCCAAUACUUCACAGAAACAAGAGAUCCACAGUGACGACCAAUAAUUGAAUGCCGGAACCGGCACUCCAAGUACGCCGGCUACAGUGAUCGGUGGCUUCGGGCAAAAGGCUCAACUCCCUCGGAUGGAUUGAGUGUAAAAACAGAGGGUAACAGAGUUUCUGGGACACGGCAAGGGAAUGGUCGCGAGUGAUGACGGAAGACGUCCGACUGGGAAGGACGGAGUCCGAAAAUCUCCCGGAGUGCUCUCAAAAUUUGGUUUUCAUCCCCGCUCUGUUUUUUUACUUCUAGAGUAAUUUCUAUCUCGCUUUCUUGCCUCACUCUCUUUCUCUGUGACAUUCCCCCCAAAAUACGAUCCUCUGUCCCGUCUUGCUCAGAAAAAAAACCGACAUUCCCUCCGUCGCGUCCUCUGUGCGAGCAGUUAUGGGGGAGAGAGAGGUCUGAGAGAGAAUGCCCAAUGAUGAAGAAGACGAUGAAUAUUAUCUGGUCUCCCCCUCAAGUUCUGGAGGGGAGGAUACUGUAUACGGAAGAAAAUAUCUUUUUUUUUUUUUUAACGUGUUGUCCCCCAAUCCCCCUUGAGAAUGCUGAAAUGGGCAGGUUUUAUAGAUGGGCCAGAGUUGCACGAAUAGGGCCAUACGAAUUGAUGGAUAGGGCCUUUCCUUUUCUUUUUCUCUUUCUCAUUUUUUAAUAUUUUUUCAUCACUUAAAUACAUAAUUGAUUUAUCAACUAAAAUUCAAGUGUCAAUGCCCGUGUGUCCAGUAAAGCUCAUAGUGACAUGUAAAAUUGCGAAAGUUGUUAAUCAAAUGUAUCUAUCUCAUUCUCAACUCAAUUUUGAUAAACUUCAUCCCAAUGUCUUAUCUUCUAUGGAUGGCAUCUUAUUGUUCACAUGAUAUUCUUAGUUUCUUAGGAUUAUGUAUAGCAAGUAAGACAUUGUUUCGAUUGUAUACUAAUUCAAAUCUCUGCAUUAUGUGUCAUGUUUACAUUGUUGAAUAUGUGGUAACAAGAUCGAAUCAUGAUUCAAAUUCUUUUUGUUCUAUUCUCAUUAAGUGGUUUUGUGAUGUCCACACAUGAUAUGUAUGAAAGGUUCUGGCCCAUGAGUUUGAUAAAUACAAGUAGUGUUAUUCGACAUCCAUGCUUUUUAACUUUUCUUGAGAAGCAGAGGUUGCAUGACUCUUUUUAGCCGUGGUUUCGACUAAAAACUUUGAAAGCCGCAAGAAGCCACUUCUUCGACCGACUAUUUUUAUCCAAUUCCUUCGUCUAGCUUUCCGGAAACAAGCCACUUCUUCGGCCGCAAGAUGAUCAACACGGUCUAAUUUAUUUGCAGGACUUAAAUAAAAUUUUGAUGGCUUCACCUAGAAUAUUCCUCAUGCGAGUCGAGAAGAAGACUUGCAAAAUAAUUACGUAGACGGGUCAUCCUUGCACUUCAAGACUGCAAAAAANNNNNNNNNNNNNNNNNNNNNNNNNNNNNNNNNNNNNNNNNNNNNNNNNNNNNNNNNNNNNNNNNNNNNNNNNNNNNNNNNNNNNNNNNNNNNNNNNNNNNNNNNNNNNNNNNNNNNNNNNNNNNNNNNNNNNNNNNNNNNNNNNNNNNNNNNNNNNNNNNNNNNNNNNNNNNNNNNNNNNNNNNNNNNNNNNNNNNNNNNNNNNNNNNNNNNNNNNNNNNNNNNNNNNNNNNNNNNNNNNNNNNNNNNNNNNNNNNNNNNNNNNNNNNNNNNNNNNNNNNNNNNNNNNNNNNNNNNNGUACCCAGCCAAUUUACCUUUUGGAUGACCAGCUUUCCUGUAGUUUUGAAUAUGGAAUUUGUCCGCUCAAUCCAGCUGAUGUCCGCCCAUUUACCCUCUUGUAAUCUUGAAGAUCCCAAACAUGAAAAGAGGCAAAGAGCACUUUGAUACUUUAGAGCAGUUAAAAAGGGGCUGUAGGCAAGUGGAUUUUCAAAGAAAUGAAUCCCCAUCGUAACAUAGGCUAUAACGUAUGAUCUUUCCACCAAAAAAAAAAAAAAAAAAAAAAGAUAGACUCAUUUUAUUAUUUAAAUAUAUUGUAUUAGUCCCAACGUUUUUUUUUUCUUUUGAGUUUUUAUUUUUUUAUUUUUGGGUCUCAGCCGCUCAAGGAUGGAUUAGUGCCGAGGUGCUAGUGAUAAAGCGACCCAAAAACAGAUUACAAGCCAAUAGUCUCUGUUGCUUCUUCAGGCGGGCUUCGCUUCUUAAGGAACAUCUCCACUUGCCCACAAACAAACUACUUUUUAAUGAUUUAAACUUUUGAGUAGAAAUCCUUGACAAAUAAUGUAAAAACAGGCAUGUGAGAUUCAAUGUGGCCAUAUCAUGUUUUUUCUGUGACAUGAUUGGCUUAUAGCGGAGGGUAGUACUCGCGGUAUACCCUCGUACAAUCCCCACACCCAAUAGACGGAACAUGUCUAGCUAAAGACCUCGUAACUCCUUAUACUCUCUCUUUGCUCUGACCAAGCCCACCACCGAGGCAACUUGCAUUGAUAUGAUGAGUUAUUAAUUUUUCCAUAACAACACUAAACUGGAUUGUAAGAUUUUAUUUCUAAUGGCACAUUUCUAAAUAGCUUGGUGACUCACUAUUGAGUUUGGAUUCUACAAAUUCCUCAAAUAGUAGGUGACAUGCUACAGUAAAAGUGGGCCUACAUUGGCAAGUUGCUUAAUCCAACGAUAUUUUUACUAACUUCAAUUUUAUCCGUAAUGGAAAAUUCCUUAUUUUAGUGAUAACUAACUAGUUGUAAGCAGACUAUGUGGGUAAGUUGCUAAUUUUACUGCUAAGUUUAUGCUUUAAGUGGUAAUUUCCACAUAUGAUAAUUUACUUUCCACUCAAAGUUGGUAAAUUCCUUAUUUUGGCAAUUCCUUGCUACCUUUUAAAAAAUGAAACUAUGUUGGUGAGUUAUUAGUUUCAUCGGUAAAUUACUAUGUUUUGCAUUAAGUUUUUGUUUUGAGUGAUAAAUCUAUGAAAAAGUUGAUUGCUAAUUAUCUCAUUUCUUGUUGAUAAAUUACUAUGAGUGUACCUGAUUAAUAGGUUGCUAGUUAUAUGAUUUUACCAACGGGAUAAAUCUAUGAGCCAUAUUAGGAAAUUAACCAUGCUUGGAGCAUUAUUCCUAGUAGCCAGUAGGUGCAAUUAUGAUAAAAUGAUCUGGAGUCCAAUUAAAAGUACUUGCUGCUCAUGACUAUUACAAAGAUAAACUAAUGCCAUUGUAAUCAGUAAACAAUACGUAGCUAAGCACGUUGUGCAGAACAUGACAUUUAUUAGUGACAUCAUGAUGCGAUUGACAAGGAAAAAUCAAACAUCCCGGGAUACUUGGUGUUUACCUUCUCUUGCAAUUAAUGGAUCCUGUAAGCUCAAAGUGGAGAUCACCUUUUGCUUGAAAUACAACACAGUAUGCUACUCCUAGAAUCUUAUUAUACAAGUCCUUUUAAGUCACCCAAGAUAUAUAACCCUCGGGAAGCAACCACUUUGGUGUCUCUCCUCCAAGUAGAAUAACUUGGCAAUAUAUUUUGUGAUGAAAUGUCAGUCAUAGAUGUAGACUGUUAGUUUUUUGAAAUUAGCACCUAAAAAGGAGUUUCAAUGAGUUAAGUGGGUAGUCCUACAGUUUAGAUAUAGUUAGCAAUAGCAUUACAAAGAUUUUUUUUUUUUUUUGUUACUUAAUUGGUGGAGACUAGACAUGUAUUAUUGAAGAUUUUGCAAUUGGAUGAACAUGUAUUAUUAAAGUUUUUCACUAGGUGAUCCUUGUAAUUCAACAGUGAGCAAGAGUUCCAUAAAUAAAGAGAAUAUACUUUGCGUUGCCUUAUAGAACCUCCACUACAUAUACAUGUAGAAUCACUUUCCAUAUGUUUGGUUUUUUUUAUUCACCCACCAAUUUAGGAUUUUCAGCCUUUUAUAAUACAAAAACACUCAAUGCAACCAACAUGUACAUGACUCCAUAUUAAACAGAGAGAGAGAGAGAGAGAACACUCAAUGCAACCAACAUGUACAUGACUUCAUAUUAAACAGAGAGGGAGGGAGGGAGUCUAACCUCAACAAUCUCAGCGUCACAUAAGUUGGAGGGAAUUCUACUUAGAAAUUUGCAACUAGUGUUAUCGAUUUCACUAGAGAGAGAGAGAGAGAGUAAAUCUCAAGUGGGAACCCACGAGCCAUGAUCAAUCCUUUGACAACUAAUUUAUCACAUCAAUUUAAGCUAAAAUAUGGAAUCUUAUGUAGAGGCAGUGGAAGGUCAUGAAUCUCUUCUAGUAAUCACUUAUUAGGAAGUGGUGGUUGAUUAAUCAUUUUUAAAAAAUUAGUUUGCAUGUAACAAUUCAAUGAGUCAAACUACUAAAAACUCAUUUUCCCGAUCCUUUGGGUCUUUUAAUAACCUAAUAAGCAUCAAUUUAGUGGAGAUGUUGAAGAAAUAGAUAAGGAAAUCGAGUAGUUAUGGGAGGAAUCGAUCAAUUAUGUGAGGAUGUGAGGAAGAGUCCAAAGAAAGAGGAAAGGAAAUUAAGCAAUUAUCAAAGUGAGCUUCAUAAAAAGUACGUAAUUUCAAUGUUGUCGAUUUAUCACUUCAUCAUGAAGAUCAAGAACUUCAUGGAAUUGGCCUUUGAGGAUAGUCUUUUCCAACAAAGGGAGAAUGACAUUGGAAGUAUCCGUAUCUGUAUUGGAAGAUUUCAAAAUCCUCUUUUGUGAUUUCCAUAAUAGGUAUAAUAUGUUCUCUUGAUCAUCUCUUGUGAUUUUAGACAAAAAGAGAUUCCUAGAGUUCAUUAGUGAUCAAGGGAGUACUGUAUCCUUGGAGUGACUUUACCAAGAUGAUGAUUUGGUUAAGGGAGACCUGGGUUAUUUAAUCUCGUCCUUGUCCUUCCUAUCCUUCGCAGUGGGGUUUUCUAUCUCACUAAGAUUAAACAACCUUUUUCCUAAUUUUUUAAUUCAACACAAUCCGACAUCAAUGGGAUCGACAAGCAUGACAGGAAAAUUGAAGGACCAAAAAGUAUGUCUCAUAUUAGGCACAGAAAGAGAAAAAAUUAAGGACUUUUUACAUAUAUAGUACUAUAUGCACACAUGUUAAGUGUAUGCACAAAAUUUAUAUUUGAAAAAUUGAGCAAAACCACUAAAUUAGAAGUACUUAAUGGAAAGAAAUUGUCGAUAAAAUAUUCGCUACACAGACACAUGUAGAAAAAGUUAGUGGAAAAAGAAAGACUUUUCAAGAUUUCAAUAAAAAAACUUGUUGUCGGAUAGAAAAAGUUCAGAUUUGAGGUCAAAUAAACUUGGCUUAGUCCGUACUCUCCCAUGUACACCAAUUCGCGACUUAANNNNNNNNNNNNNNNNNNNNNNNNNNNNNNNNNNNNNNNNNNNNNNNNNNNNNNNNNNNNNNNNNNNNNNNNNNNNNNNNNNNNNNNNNNNNNNNNNNNNAAUUGUGUGGGACUUGUCAAGAAGAACUUCUACUCCUAAAGUUGCAACUGCCAAGAACUUUCAUAAUGUAUCUUCUAGAUCGCUCCUUGAAGAGAUAGGCAACAUCAAGGAAGAUCUCCUAUGUAACUUAACUUAUGAACAUUGUUGACGAUUUCAUUUUGUUUUUCUAAUGAUACCUUGGGCAACGAUUUUUUCCCAAAGGAACUAAAUUAUUGAUAGUAUGUCUUGAGUUUAAGCCUAUAAAAGAAACUGUCCUAAUUUGAAUAAGUUUCCUAGGGGGAAAAUUUUCUACUUUAGAUCUUUUUUUCCUAUAUUAGAAGUGAGUCUUCUUUAUGAAGAGUAUCCAAGAUAUGGCUUCCUUGUGAAUUACAUCUUGAAGUAAUUUGAGAAUGUCAAAGCCAAUUACAAUUUUAUGUCAAAGUUUGUAAAUUCCUUGAUGCGAGUUGUUGUAAAUUGAUGCCAAAAUAAUUGGACUUUACAAUUAAAUCAAUGUGAAAUCACUAAAGAAAUUACGAUAAAUAAUAAAUAAAAUUAGACAAUUAUGUGGACCUAUCCAAGUAUUAGUACUUAUUUUAUGGAAAGAGUCAAUGACAAAUAAUUCAAUAAUCAAUUAAAAAAAUUAAAGAGUUAUAAUUGCUCUGAUGCUGGAGUAUUUUUCAAAUCUAGAUUAUCCCAAAAACUCAUAUUAUUUAUAAAUAAAAUUACUCAAUUUGACGUAGAACUCAAGGCACAAAAUCACCCUAUGUUCAAGUUCUCGUGCAUGACAAAAACAAGAGCUCAUUACGGCUAAUCCGAGAAGCGUCUGUACACCCCUUCGUCUUUCUGCGGCUUUAAAGAAUGAUGGCCAUUGUACGACAAAAGACGAACACCUUUUGUAUGAUCAUAAAUAAGGGAAUUUAGACCUCCACCUUUGUAUUUCUUUAUGUGGUCAAAUCAAAACACUUUUUUUUUUUGGAUAAAGACCAAAUAAUAGAAAAGACCAAUUAAUAGAGAUGUCCUCUCAUUUUUGUUUUACCUUCUUGUAGGAGUUGCAUUGAAGUAGCCAACCUGGGUAUUUAUCUUCGACAAACAUAAACAAAAAUGAUCGGUUACAUCAUGUCAGUAUAAUAGUUAGCAUCAGCAGUGACACAAAAUAUUAUUCUCAAACCAGGGAUAGUUACGCUUGAUGAAUUCAAUUUUUGCAAGAGUGCAUCUGUGUGAUUAGAAUGGGAAAACAUAUGAGCCAUUAGAUUAGCUCAAUCCUUAGGAAAGUUUACGUAUUACAAGCAAUCAUGGAGUUGCACUGUUAAGGAAAAUCAUGAAAUAUAACGACAAUUGCUCAUUGAUAGCGUGAUCGUUGAAGUUAAUGUACUAAGGAUAUAAGAUCAUAAAAUUUUGCGAGAACUUCCAAUUUUUUGUGAUUUCUUGAAAAGUUUUUGAAUGCUAGAAGUCCCAAACUCAGGAGAACUUCAAGAAAAUCUACUCUCCUUGGACAAAUGCCACUAACAUUGUCACCUAAAGUUACAAGGACUUUACAUGAGGUGCCAUCAUCGAUAUGAUUUACUAGUCCAAAUAUAGAUAUCAUCACUUACAAGUUGUUGAAGGAAUUUACUAUGCUAUUGGAUAAUUAUGAGUGAGAGGAUCAUCAAGAUAUGAACUCUACAAUUAAGUUACUAAUUUUAAGAGAAAGUUAUUAACUACUAGCACUGUGAUGAUCACGAAGACUGCACGGGACUUACAUAGUUCAAAAAAUAAUUACGAUCCACAAAUACUGAAUUUUGUCAAUUAAAAAAAUAAUAACGAUCCGCGGGCUUCUCCGGCUAAAGGAAUGGCAUCUCCGGAGAAGUGUUUACGACCAGACUCGGACGAUCAGAAAUAUGCCACCAAAAAUCAAAGAAAACUCCGAUGCAGUCUUGAUUUUAAUGAAUUCAUAAGGAAUAGAGUACAAAAAAAUAACAUGCAUCUCGCUAAAAUUGAAUUCGAUUUUUCAUCGAGACAUUCCGUCGAAUAGUUAAUGUGCAGUUCGGAAUACCACCUCUAGGCUCGAAAGCUUGCUGCGACGAACGGCGACCAGCUAGUCGGCUUCACUGGAAGGUCGAGGGUGAUCGAGGCGGACCACCGACGAGCCGAAAGAAUUCUCUCCUCUCGGUUUCAGAUUUCUCUUCGAAACACCUCCGGCUCCACCCCCCGAACCGAUCCUCUCUCUCUCUCUCUCUCUCUCUCUCUCUCUCUCUCGGUCCUUCUUCCUCUUUCGUUUCUGCCCCAUCCCGACCUUUCCAAGAAGAACAAAUUGGUCUCCGAACGAGAAAAGCCCACGGCCCAUCUGGCAUCUAUCUCCAUCUUCUUCGCUGGGCGAUCCUCGCUCCGGUUCGAACCGCUGCGACUCUCUGGCGUUCGAGCGCCGUCUCCUGGCAGCAAAUCUCGACCUCGCCCGAUCACCGCCGGCGGCAUUGAUCGUCUUUUCUCCGCAACAAUAGGAAAAAAAAAGGCUUUUGCAUUUGUGCACUAUAGAUUCUUAUGCAUCAGUUCAUCCUUGAUUGAACAUUCUGGGGCAUUUUAAUAUGUAAAAUACCCUUGUUUUCAAUUGUCAUCAAAUGUUAAUUUCAGCGUCUGUCUGCACAUAGGAAUUAAUCAUACAGUAUCGCAUUGGGACACCAUCAUAUCCCACUCUCAAGCAUGUACAUACCGAAGCAAGGGUUGUGAUGGUAAAUUGGUCAAAAAAGCAUCAGAAUGAAACUUUGUACUACAUCAAAGGGGAAAAAAAACUACUUAAAUUGGAAAUGGACCCCCGACAGAUUACAGCAGAACCUCCUUCCCCAUCAGAGAAUUCACGUCGGGUACCAAGCCAGAGCAUCUCGAGUUUUCAUAAUCGCGGAACUCCUUGACUCAACAGCAAAGACAUUCCAGCCUAAAAGCUUACCUUGCCAUUGAGGAAGCUAACAAUCGAUGCGGGAUAGAUUAAUGCUCCCUCUCACAUGCAAAAACAAAACGGACGGGAAAGAGAACAGGGAGCCGAAAAUGCGGAAUAAGAUGAGGGAGAACCAAAUGUAGAAUUUAACAUUAAUUUGAGCAUGAAGAAGCUGAAAUUUGAAGCCACACUACACGCACAUUAUGUGUAUCAGUCAAGCCGGGAUUAACCGAUUUGCAGCAAUAAGAGUCUCUGAAUCAGGCACACCGCCGAAUUUCAACACCAGCCUCCGGCCAAACCGUACGAAUCAAACAUCGAGAAGCAGAACCGAGCGAAGGACGAGUUCCGCCAGAGCUCCAACUUCAAUAGAAAAAUCCCAGCGCCGUGACGAACAAGGUUGACUUUAGACAGCGCCGUAACGGUCGCAUGCAAUGACAAACUCAAUCCUAAACGCGACUUCCAAAAAAAAAAGAAAAAAGAACAAGAAAAAGAAAAAACACAGACAUCGAUCAUCGUCCCGACCGCACCGCGUCGCGAAGCACGGCCUCCGGGCAGCCAAUGCGAGUCCUCUCGCGACGCUCCAAACACUACACAUGACACCGGAGACCGUGCGAGGUCAACGCGAGCAUCUAGAGAGGGAGCUGCGGGAACUUACGGGAUCGAUCAGGCGGCGGCGGCGGCGGCGGCGGUAGGAGGAGCGGGAAGCAUGGAGCUCGGGGGAAGCGAGGAGGAGGAGAAGAAGAAGAGAUCGCGAUCCGGAGAAGGAGGAGAAGCCCGGUUCCGAAUUUAAUAACACGUCGCCGUAGGGAGCGGGUGGCGCGAUCUCACCGACAAUCACCGUGAGCGAUUGCAGACAAUCGACUCCACGUCGCCGCCGAGGAGUAGCUGUGGAGUAAGAACUCAACUAAAGCGAAAACCAGAAACUCCGAAAGAGAGAGAGAGAGAGAGAGAGAGAGACUAGAGAGAGGAGGUGACGUGGAGCUGACUGAACUGCAACUAGAGAGAGAGAGAGAGAGAGAGAGAGAGGGAAAGUGAGAGUGACGGGAGGAUCACAGGAGACGCGAGUACGGCCUCUUUUUGGGACAAUUUGGACAGCGUUCGGGGACCACCGGCGGUCCCGACCCGGCCGCGGUUCCAGCUUUUAGGGUCGAACGGUCCACGUACGGACGGACCUGGCGACGGUGGCCUCUCCAGGCGAGAUUACCGUCGAAGGUCGGACCGGUUGGCCGGAUUCGAUGUGGGGCCCACAUGUGAACUUUUCUACGCUUAUGAGAAAGUGUCGCUGUUUGCCCCUGGUCCUUAGACAUGUGUUUGCUUAGAAGAGUUUCUUAGACUUCGAGAGGGUUAUGAUUAUGAUUGAUAUCGAUACGACGUAUUUAUUUAAAAAUAAUUUUUUAAUAAUUAAAAAUCUCAAUUAUAUAUAUAAUAAAUUUAUUUUUAAUUAAUUUAUAUUAAAUUGGAUUAAUAUCACGAACAGAAAGAAAACUCUAAAUUGAUAUCAGACUUAGCAAUAUAAUAGUAAAAUCACAAAUAUAUCAUAACUUCAAGUAUACAAAUUUAAAAUCUUUGAUGAUCCACAAAUUAAUUUAAAAUAUAUUAUUUUGCGGUUUUUUGGUAGUAUUAACUAUUAUGGUCAAUGAGCAAUUUGUCUUUGGUAACAACAAAAUAUGGUUAUAGCACUGAAAACAAAUGGCGCGUGGGAUUAACGGUUGCGCACGCGCGUGCGGGGUGGUCCUUGCGCUGAAGUGGAGUAGUCAAUGGAAACUUUGUUAAAGUUCUGUUGGGCCUUCUUGUGUUGUUGGUUGGUUGACUCUCUCUCUCUCUCGAUCGCUAUCGUUCGCUUUUGCUUUUAUCCAACGGACCGGAAGAGCGCGGGGGCUUGUCGACGGACCACGACCGCUCACGGGAGAAAAGGACGGCGACGUUUCGGGGUAGUGUCUGCGCUUGACUGUUGAUGAAAUUAAACUAUCAUUUUGAUACGAAAAUACGAUAUUUAAGCAGUGGGGCAAAAAAAUUAAAUUUCCGACGGAUGAAUAACGUACACGUUCGAUGGUUAGUUACCUUAUAGUCAACUUAUAUUUAUCUAGCAAGAAAUACACGAAUUGCACCAUGUAGUAGUAAAAAGAAUGGAAGAUCUCCAGGCUAAUUUAACCACACUCACGAAAGAAAAUACCUAAAGAAAUUGACGAAUUCAAAAUGCGAAUUGCACUUGCAUGGAUAGGUCAAAGCAUUUUUGCUGAAAGAGUAGAUGGUAAUAUAUUCGUAAAGUUUAAUUUAAUCGAACUAUGCUAAUUAAUCUUACAAGACUACAAGUAGACAUUGAAUGGAAUCGAUGAUUGACAUGACUGUAUAUUUCUUGAUAGCUAGAUACAAAUGGAAAAUGAUACACUUGUGAAUCAAUAAUCUACACGUGCUUUCAAUUAUAUGAUGUCUGUAGUCAUUGCAUUUAGGUGGCAUUUUGUGAAGAAUUAAGUUUCGAUUGGUAGGAAACAAAUUGGCAAUAAUCAAAUCUUCGCCGAAUGAUGUUGACCCAUGCCAUAAUGAAAAGAUAAUUUCUCAUGUAUCAUAUAUACAAGUAGAUUCAUUUAGAUGGAUAGAGGGGGAAGAAAAAAAAUACAAAUAUGUAUAAUGAAGUGUAAAUUCGUUACUAACUAAAUACUUUUUUUUUUUUUGAGUAAUGUGUCACAUUGAUUAAAGGGAGCACUAUGAACUAUAGUUAGUAUAGGGUCCAUCACAAUUUAAGUGCAAUCAAUGGUAGGAUUAGAUCGACCUAUCUAAGUGAAGUCUAAGUCUAUUUAUUUAAGAUAUGAUAAAAAUAAGAUAUCCCAGGAAUCUCAAUUUCAAUUACUAGGGCUGUGAAUGCUCAACCGAGAACACCCCUUUUUGUUCCUCAUAUAUUAAAAUUCAUCUAAAAGAAUUACUAUAUUAAAUAACUUAUUGACAUAUAAAUGCAUAAGUAAAUUAUGUAGAAAAUUUAUCACAUAACUCAAUAUAUUAACAUAAUAGACACUUGAGGAUCUAGUUAAUGAGUGCUCAUUUAUUAACAAUACUUGAUUUGGAAUAAUGCAAUUCCCAAGCAUUAAAUGUCCAUAUCAGUGCAUUCAAAACUGCAAAAUUCCCUUAAUUGGUUGCAAGGUACUCAUUAACAAAAUCAUUUUUAAAAGUACCUUCAAAUUCGUUAGCAUGAGCCGAUGAAUAAUUUCUAAAAAUAAUAAUAGCUCCAAUUCCACCUCUAUUUUUUUCUCUGACACUUUAACUAAACGAGGGAUGCUCACAAUUCAUGUUUCUUCUUGUAUUUCACCCGCUCAUCCUAUCAUUGAGUCCAGCUCAAAAGUUUCCAAUUAGUGAUGCCACUUUUAUCAUAAUUAAAUGAAAAGCACACACUGAAUUAUUUGUAGUACGGUCCACACUUGACAUUGUGGUCACUACCAAUUCUCGACCAAUUUGUCCCUAAGAGAAUCAAUAAUUCAACGGAUAGACUGUCAAUGUCCUUCACUUCACGCCACGUGUGGUCGUUCUCUAGCGCCUACCCACUUCGUACUUGUGAAUUAAGAAGACCCAAAAAUACUUGAAAGGACAAUACCCACUAGAAACUACUAUCGAUUCAUUGAAUAUAAUAUAAAAAAAAAAAAAGGCGGCAUGAUCAAAGAACGGGCACUGAAUCCCUAUUCUAAUUUUUUAAUUUUUUCAAUUUCGAACAUUUUGUGGCAAAGCAACCACCCGCUAGGGUGGCUCUGCUGGUUCGGCACUCCCUCUCCCGAAAGAGAGGUUGAGGGUUCGAAUCCCCCGCGAAGCGGGAGAUUGUUGGCAGAGGCAUUUUCGGCGACUUACUUGGUGCACGUAUGUGGUGGCUAGCACGUGUACCCCCAGGGUUUACUCUCCGGCUGCCGGCCGUGCGGGGGUUCCCUGAGUCAUAAAAAAAAAAGAAAAACAUUUUGUGGCAAAGCAUCGCUGCUCAUCGUUCCAUACAUGUUCAAUUAUUUAUAAAGCUGGGAUGGUUGUCAACCACCCCGAAUUGCAAAAAGAGGACCACCAUUCAACUAAAGAUCUCCAAUAAAUUAGCCUCCUCCUCCUCCUCCUCAUCAUUCCCUUGUCUCUGUUUUAUUCAGUCGGUUGUUUACGAUAUGUCGAUUUGAAUAGAUAGGUCGGUCCAAAAUGGGAGUUAGGGAUGUGCAAGCUUUACUUAUCUUAAUAAUUCGCUGUGGUAAGGUGGCGCACUCGUGAAGCAAUGCCCACACCACAACCACCGCCCCCGGAAUUAAAUGGAGAACGGGAAAGGAGCCGAGACGGACGCGAUGAUCAUACACCAAUCAUGAUGUUCGGCGGUCCUUUGUCUGCUUUAAUUCAGCGCGACUUUUGGGUCAGUGACAGCCUCGCUUUAACCUGGCUUUAGUUGAUUGAGAUAGCCUCGUUGCGUCGCUCAAUUAAUAAGGGCUUUUUGUUGAGGACUGAUAAUGCCACUAAAAAUUUAAAAUCAGUACUCUCACGACGCAUUUGUCGACAACUAUUUUUCAUUUUACACAAAAAAAAAGUGUCUCGUAUAUGUGAAAAUUAAUUUUUGUCCCAAAUUUUUGUCUCAUGAAAAAAACUCAAGUUGGUAUUCCUGACCAAUAUUUGCCCCCUUCAUCCCAUUAAAAGGCAAAUAUGUUAACAUAGGUUGAUUUUCCAUAUUGGACUCGUCAUUCUUUGCAUUAGAUUUUAUGUGUGCAUUUUAAUGAGAUAUUGAACUUAAAUGCUAAUGGGGGUAGAUUUGGGUUGAGAGUAUGGAAUUUUACGCGAGACGAUAUUAAUAUGUCAAGAGCUACCAAUCCUAAGAUUAUUUUUAAGAUGAAAACUAAUUUGGAGUAGUUGUAUAAUAAGGAUAUCGAUUUUGUGAUUUAAAAAAAAUAUUUAAAUGAAUUUUAAAUGUGUAAAAUAUAUUUCGAAGGAGUUAUUGCUAAUGAGUGCGUUUGACGUGCAAGGUGAUACCAUAAUGGCUAUGCGGGUCAUUGUCACACAACUCAUUUGAUGUGGCCAUGACUUGAGCAAGCCAAUAGAAUCCCAAUAAAUACUUAAAAUUGACGUUUUUUUCUUUUUCUUCUAAAAGGUAAGAUAGAGUUUGGAUUGGUUUUCAUGAAUCUCAAUCUGUCCUUCUCCUCAAGCGAUUUUAAGAGUGCACUCAUUCACAUUGACUUGGUGUUUUCGAGAAUUUACUUCUCAACUACUCCUAAAAUGCCACCAGAAAAGUUAAACUAACACCUAAAUUUUGUAAAAACGAUCAUGUUAAUGAGUGCUCGACAUACUUAAUUUGGGAUAAUUUGAUUUUCAAAAUAUUGAUUGUGCAUGACAUGAGGACAAAUAAUAGAUCAGAAACUAUAAAUUUUCCAAAAAAUUGUGGCUUAACAAAUGUCCUUGAGGUGCCCCUAAUAAAUUCCUUUUAAAACAACGUAUGUUGAACAAAAUGUCGAUUGGACACAUUCGAGACGAGUAUCGGAGUCCAGACCUCCGACCAGACUAAACUAGAAGCAAUCAAUUGCACAUUCGAGACAAUUUCACGACGCGAAGGACAAAGAAAGAAAGGGGGUUAGUUGCAAAAAUUGACAGAAUAAGGACCAGAUUGUAAUUGACCCUAAGCAUCGUGAUCUAAUUGAAAAAAAGGUCAAAAAAGUAAGGGACAUUCAUAGAAUUGGGCUCGCUCCUCGGCCCAUCAUUAUCUUUUAAUGACGAACAAAUUGGUCUCCGAACGGGAAAAGCCCACGGCCCAUCUGGCAUCCGUCUCCAUCUUCUUCGCUGGGCGAUCCUCGCUCCGGUUCGAACCGCCGCGACUCUCUGGUGUUCGAGCGCCGUCUCCCGGCGGCAAAUCUCGACCUCGCCCGAUCAUCGCCGGCGGCAUUGAUCGUCUUCUCUCCGCAGUGAUGGUGCAGAAGCAGCACCAUAAGUCCAACGCCAAGAAACAGCCCCACGUAAGCCGUCUUCUUCGCUUCUCAUGGUUGCAAUCUGCAUCCGUUUACGCACUCGUGACUAUUGCUUGCUCUUCAAUGAGGCGGCGUAUUUUGUCUCCGAAGAAGAAAUUCGAAAGUUUCAAUUGCUUCUAUGAUCUGUUUGUUGCGCCGAGGCCUCUGAAUUGAGCUUUGGUGGACCUGCUUUUGGCUAAGUUCUUGGUUGAAGCGUUCGUUGGUGGUUGUUCUCAGAAUCUGAGUGGACGUGAAUGUGGUAUGCAUUGAUGAACAGGUCAAAAAGCAGGGGAAGCAAGCGGAUAACACGCAGUUCCGAGCUCAGCUUGAUGCUCUGGGCCUGAAAAUUGUCCAGGUGACUGCAGAUGGUAAUUGCUUUUUCAGGUCCGUCUUCCUUGUUAGAAAAAGAUCACCGUAUUGUUCAUGAUUUUUUAUUGAAUUUUUCCAGGAAUUGGUUUGUUUUGUAAGAUAACAGUAUUCCUCUCUGUUUUGGAAGAUUUUUGGUAUGCUCAUUGCAUUACCACUCUAUCGUCUGAACACAACACAGAGUGCGUUUUAUGGUACACUGGUUCUGGAACACUAUCAUCGAUGUACUAGAAAUUCCUCAGUUGGAAAAAUUAUUGCAUUUCGUACAAUGUAUCAUUCUGCUUGAGACACUGCAUCUAGAAAUAUUUCUCGAAGAACAGCUCUAUUUGUCAGGGAAUGUAGCUCUUUUAACUUAGUCUCGAAGAUAUUAGAUUGACUCUUCCGUUAUCCAACUAAGUAACUUCGUAAAUUUCUAUCACUAUUGUAUCGCUAUUGUACAACGCCUAGAGAAACUAACCACGUGCCUCAUUCCUGUUUUCAUUCCACAUAUUUGAAUUAUCCAUCGUCCAGGUAAUCUUACAGCCUUGUAUGGAGCUUUUGUUUAUAGAAACGCCUUUGCUAUGGUUGGAAUUUUCAUAGUUGUCCACUCUUGUUAAUCAGGGCCCUUGCAGAUCAGUUGGAAGGCAAUGAAGAAGAACAUGGGAAGUACCGUAGUAUGGUUGUUCAGUACAUAUUGGUAUGUGGAAUGCAGAUUUCUCUUUUUCAAACUGUAGGAAUUAUGUUUAGGGGGUGGGGGGGUUACAUGGUGAUAUAGUCCUCAUUUGUAUUAGUCCUCAGUGAUCUGAAUCUCAACUUUAUUUGGUUCAUUUUGUUCUUGAACCUUUCUGUAAGUAUUGAUGGAUCUCACACUUAUAUAGACACUAAAAUAGCAUGCCUUUGGAAGAAAAAACCAAGUUAAAAUGGGUAUUAUACAUUGAAGCAUACAUUUCUACUGCCAAUGGUUAUUCCUGGUGAUAUUCAGCUCAGUCACAGUUGCAUAGAGCUAUAACAACACAAGGAUCACCUGAGCAAUUUGACAUUCUUAUUUUACUAGAGAGGAAAACCUUCUGAGUGUUAACCGUGAUUUGGAUGGUGUAUCUUGGCCUAAACUGACAGCUGCAGGAGGAGGCUGGACUUUAUAGUUACCCGCAUUGUUCUAGCCUACAGGAAUGUGCGGUUGCUACUUUAGGGUGCCAUUAUUAUGCAAACCAACAUAUUUUUGGAGGAGAAAUUGAGAAAAUAAAAAAUUAGAGAAUUGAUACUAAUGUAGAAUAGGUAAACUUUUUACCAUGCAUGGUAAAACUUUAAUGUUUUGCAAUGGCACAAAUUGAUAGUCUUGCUUGUUUCAAGUUUCAACAGAAUCCUUUAUUUUCAUUGGUUUUUCCUGAUAGUGAUGUGUUUAAGGAAAUAAAAUCCUCAUCUGAAGAAUGGACCUGAUAUAUGCAUCUAAGAUGGGAAUUGUUAAUGACAGAAAAAUCGUGAAAUGUUUGAACCAUUUAUUGAGGAUGAUGCGCCAUUUGAGGAGUAUUGCAAAACCAUGGACAAUGAUGGCACGUGGGCUGGUCAUAUGGAAUUGCAAGCAGCUUCUCUUGUUACACGGAGUAACAUUUGCAUUCAUCGGGUAAGACUGACAAUGAAGUCAUCAACCAUCACCUACGUGAAGUUUUGUUGGUUACAGUCUUUUCAUUCCUUCAGGAGAAACAUCCAGACUAAAUGAGGAUGUCAUUAGACUCGUCAAUUGUUAGCCUUGCUACUGGAUUUGAAGUUUCGCUGUUUAAGCAUGCAUCCUAGAAUUCGAUGACCAUUGAAGAACCCAUGAUUAUUGGUUUCCAGACUCAUUCUCCACUUAAUCAUAUAAUGGCUUUCUUCCCCAAUAUGGCCCUCCUUUAUCUGAGAAGUUAUUCCCUCAUCAUUGUUUAGAUCAAAAGAUCACUUAGGAUGUUGUUCUCAUAAUGGUUAUAGCUUGUUCUUUUCUGUCUGGUUAUAAUUUGUUACUCUUUAGGCUGAAAAAUUGACUCAUCUGAAGCGCAAUGAUAUCCGGCAUGUCUUGCGAUGUCUAUUGUGGCGAAAGCAUGUGGAAGGACCAUUGAUAGUGAUGUGCAAAAGAUUUUUUCAGAGAUAUAUUGCACCUUUUAGCCCAAGGAGUUCCGAUGGGUGCAUAUAAUCCUAAUUCAAAGAAGACUUAAUAUAUUGAACUUGUUACAAAAUUGCUGGCUUUUUGAGUGUUCUAUAUGUCCUUGAUGAAUCUACACAGCACUAAUUAGUUUUGAUACAUGCUGUGCAUGCAAAUAUCUGUUCGUUGACGCCAAAUGGAACAAUUUAUCUCACUCCUUACUUGAUGCAGAACAUGUCACCUCGGUGGUACAUACGCAAUUUUGAUCGGCCUGGUGCUCAUAUGAUCCAUUUGUGAGUUUUCUGAAUAUAGAGAGUGAUGCUUUUUUUGGCUAAGCAAGUGCUCAAAUACUGGGAUGAGAUCUGGCUCUGUUGGUAUGCACUUAAAUAAAUGACCUUUUCUUACGUUUUACUUUCCCUCAAAAGAUUUGAAAAUAAAACAAUGUUUUUAUUUUUUAAGUGAUUAUGAAAAGAUUAUAUAUUUCUCCUGGUCAAGCUUGUUUAUUUUUAAAAAGUUUUAGGUGUUUCGAGUUUCAUAAAAGUCAAAUUACAAGAGCUGCAAGAUCUUUUUUUUAAAAACGAAAGUUAUAAGUACAGGUCGUCCAAACAAACCAGCUCAUUACACAAAAGAAGGUACUGCAGCUUGUUCAGGGAGACUGCUGACUUGUGAAAUUAUUUUGGCAUGCAAGGACAACAUCUCAUAAGUUGCAGAUCCGAGUGUAGUUGCGGUGUUGUUAGAUUUAACAAUGGAAGUUCUUUUGCUAGUUUGAGAGACGUUUUGGUGUGGUCGGAGGGGGAUAAAUUACUGGCUAAGCAUAUGUGGUAGGAGACCGAAAUGUCAAUUUAGCUUUUGUUUCUUCAAUAAAUUAUUUUAUUGAAAUUCCCAUUCAUAAUCCUUCAAUGAAUGGCAUCCCUUAAUAUUCUAAGUUAAGAUGGAUUGGAUCUGUCUAGGUAGCCAUAGUGACCUUGGAUUGUCACGAGGAUCAUGAAAUUUAGUGGAUAUAUGAUAUUCCAUACUUUACUAUCUUCGAUAGGUGUCAUCAUGUGAAACCAGUAAGCAUAAAAAAUGUGCGUUGUGCCAUUAUUGUUUUGUGGAUAGGGAAAAUCUUAUGUUCUUUUUGGACUGAUGGUGUUUCAUUAUUUGAACUUUAUAUAUUUUGCUUUGCUUUAUUAGAUCUUAUCAUGAUGAGGAACAUUACAACAGUGUGAGGUUGAAGGAAGACACUGGAGAUGGGCCAGCUAGGCCAAUUACAAUCAAGGUUGCUACUGGAAUUUAAUUCUAAUUUACUAAGUUAGUAGGGAAGUUGGACAAAUUGUGAAUUUAAGUAUGUGAUUUGAUAAUUUCUUUUGCUGAAAGGCUGAUUCUAAUCUCUCGUCAUCGUCUCGCCAAGCAAAAGCUGGGUCAAAGAAGUCUAAAUCAGGAGCUGGUAAGGAUAUUACUGAUGCUGGAUCCAUCAAGCUAGUCAUGGCUGGAAGUGGUUGUGAGAACAUUGAAAAAGUUGAGCAGGUUAUGUCCUCGCUUCUUCUGCUCGCUUGUUUGCAUUAAAUGCUUUCCUCUCAUUUGCUGGGUGUCUAGAAUUAGAAUACAAGACCUCUCUGUGGCUUCUGUGUGACAUGCGAUACUUUUACAGACAUUGCUGCAAAUGUAUGGGGAUGUUGAUGCUGCCAUAGAGUAUUUGAUAGCAGAAAAAGGUAUUGAAUAUUUUUCAGAGGAAGCUGUCCGGUCUCCCUGCAAUGCAGAUGCUUCUCAUGGUAAUGGCUGGUCAGUAUUUAUCUCUCUAGAUUUUAUUUAAUAAUUUAACUUCGCAGUUUCAGAGAUACCAUGUUGAGCUUCAUGAGAAGCUUGUUUGGAGUCAUUUUGAUGCAACUGGUAGAAUUAGCGUGCUUUGUCUUGUCAACCAUAGAUUUUUGGGGUAGUCAAACAUGUUACACCCAAAACUAUUUCAUAAUUCUUUGUGGUGUUUAGGUGAUGAUGCCAGUAGAAAUUCUGAGGAACAGAGAGAGGAACCUGUGGAGGAGGCCAAUAAAGAAAAUCCACCUAGCAAUAGCGCUAAACAGACUCAUGAUGAUGGCAGUGCCCAGCGAGAAGACAAGGUUUCCACAAAAGUUGACUAUGUUACCUCUUUUACCAUUUUGGUUUUAGCUCAAACGUGAGAACUGUUGGUGAUGCGCUCCUUCAUUUUUAUUUGCUUGUUUUAUCUUGAAAUGAAGAAAAUUCCCAGAAACAAGAAUUGUUCAUGUGGUUCAAAAAAGAAAUACAAGUCCUGUUGCGGGUCAGGGACAGGGAAAGUCUCUGCAAUUUCCAAGUAUUUCUCGUUCUCUCAGUGCUUUAUAUGUCAAGUUAUAGUUUAAGCUUGUCUUUUGUUGAAGUACCUUUCCUGUUUCUGUGUGAUUCGAGUUCAUACGUAUCUUGAAAUUAUGGCUCAUGUAUCCAACAUUGUAUCGUACUUAACUUCAAAUCUGGACUAUUUUCUCACUCCUAUGCUUUGUCGAAUAAUGGGUUCACUUUGGAAAAAUGUUCAUACAUGAGUAAUAUAAAUUUGUACUUACAAGACAAAGACAGACUGAAGAUUUCUCCUUUUCUAUGUUAAAUGUUGUUUUGCCAGUAAUCAAGCUCUUGAAUCCCAGAAAGGUAGAAAGGAAAAGAAGCGAGGCAAGAGAGGGUUUGACACAUCUGCACUUUCCAGUGGAUCUGAUGGAGGGCCCACCUGAUAUGGGGGCUCUUUGUAUCUGAUUUUUUGUUAAAGUAUGUGCACCAUCAUCUAUUGGAUUUCAGAUAUCAGUGCGCUGUCUUUCAAAUAUUUGAUUAGACACAAAUUUUUUUCUACUUCCAUUAGCAUGAAUUUGAUGCAUGCAUCUCUUUUUUGAUCUUUGGGAUAAGUGCGCUUUCUAGUUUUCCACCUGUAGC